AUUGGACGCUAGCGGGAUGCCUUACACAUGCAAGUCGAACGGCAGCACGGACUUCGGUCUGGUGGCGAGUGGCGAACGGGUGAGUAAAGUAUCGGAACGUGCCUAGUAGCGGGGGAUAACUACUCGAAAGAGUAGCUAAUACAGCAUACGCCCUACGGGGGAAAGGGGGGGAUCGCAAGACCUCUCACUAUUAGAGCGGCCGAAACCGGAUUAGCGAGUUGGUGGGGAAAAGGCUCAAUAAGGCGACGAUCCGUAGCUGGUUUGAGAGGACGACCAGCCACACUGGGACUGAGACACGGCCCAGACUCCUACGGGAGGCAGCAGUGGGGAAUUUUGGACAAUGGGGGCAACCCUGAUCCAGCCAUUCCGCGUGUGCGAUGAAGGCCUUCGGGUUGUAAAGCACUUUUGGCAGGAAAGAAAUCGCACGGGAUAACACCCCGUGUGGAUGACGGUACCUGCAGAAUAAGCACCGGCUAACUACGUGCCAGCAGCCGCCGUAACAC
rnacentral:rRNA from 1 species